rnacentral:misc_RNA from 1 species
GAUGAAGAACGUAGCGAAAUGCGAUACGUAGUGUGAAUUGCAGAAAUACGUGAACCAUCGAAUCUUUGAACGCAUAUUGCGCUCGAGGCUUCGGCCAAGAGCAUGUCUGCCUCAGCGUCGGGUUAAUACUCGCCCUCCCCUCACACGGGUUGGAGCGGACCUGGUCGUCCCAGAGGGCUUAAACCCCUUCUGGGUCGGCUGAAGAGUAGAGGUCGAUGCAUGGACCCGUUAUGGGCCUCAACUAGGUAGGCAACUCGCUUUGCUAAUCUCCAGUUGAUGGCUUGGAUCCGUGCCCGUCGGCCCGAACCAGGAAUUGAGCCUCGCGCUCAACACUCUCAUUUCCUCGACCUGAGCUCAGGCAAGAUUACCCGCUGAACUUAAGCCUAUCAAUAAGCGGAGGA